AGAUUGAACGCUGGCGGCAGGCCUAACACAUGCAAGUCGAGCGGUAGAGAGGUGCUUGCAUCUCUUGGGAGCGGCGGACGGGUGAGUAAUGCCUAGGAAUCUGCCUAGGUGGGUGGGGGAUAACGGUUCGGAAACGG
rnacentral:rRNA from 1 species